AGAGUUUGAUCCUGGCUCAGGACGAACGCUGGCGGCGCGCCUAACACAUGCAAGUCGAACGAGCGAGAGAGAGCUUGCUUUCUCAAGCGAGUGGCGAACGGGUGAGUAACGCGUGAGGAACCUGCCUCAAAGAGGGGGACAACAGUUGGAAACGACUGCUAAUACCGCAUAAGCCCACAGCUCGGCAUCGAGCAGAGGGAAAAGGAGCAAUCCGCUUUGAGAUGGCCUCGCGUCCGAUUAGCUAGUUGGUGAGGUAACGGCCCACCAAGGCGACGAUCGGUAGCCGGACUGAGAGGUUGAACGGCCACAUUGGGACUGAGACACGGCCCAGACUCCUACGGGGGGCAGCAGUGGGGAAUAUUGCACAAUGGGGGAAACCCUGAUGCAGCGACGCCGCGUGGAGGAAGAAGGUCUUCGGAUUGUAAACUCCUGUUGUUGAGGAAGAUAAUGACGGUACUCAACAAGGAAGUGACGGCUAACUACGUGCCAGCAGCCGCGGUAAAACGUAGGUCACAAGCGUUGUCCGGAAUUACUGGGUGUAAAGGGAGCGCAGGCGGGAAGGCAAGUUGGAAGUGAAAUCCAUGGGCUCAACCCAUGAACUGCUUUCAAAACUGUUUUUCUUGAGUAGUGCAGAGGUAGGCGGAAUUCCCGGUGUAGCGGUGGAAUGCGUAGAUAUCGGGAGGAACACCAGUGGCGAAGGCGGCCUACUGGGCACCAACUGACGCUGAGGCUCGAAAGUGUGGGUAGCAAACAGGAUUAGAUACCCUGGUAGUCCACACUGUAAACGAUGAUUACUAGGUGUUGGAGGAUUGACCCCUUCAGUGCCGCAGUUAACACAAUAAGUAAUCCACCUGGGGAGUACGACCGCAAGGUUGAAACUCAAAGGAAUUGACGGGGGCCCGCACAAGCAGUGGAGUAUGUGGUUUAAUUCGACGCAACGCGAAGAACCUUACCAAGUCUUGACAUCCUGCGACGCACAUAGAAAUAUGUGUUUCCUUCGGGACGCAGAGACAGGUGGUGCAUGGUUGUCGUCAGCUCGUGUCGUGAGAUGUUGGGUUAAGUCCCGCAACGAGCGCAACCCUUAUGGUCAGUUACUACGCAAGAGGACUCUGGCCAGACUGCCGUUGACAAAACGGAGGAAGGUGGGGAUGACGUCAAAUCAUCAUGCCCUUUAUGACUUGGGCUACACACGUACUACAAUGGCGUUAAACAAAGAGAAGCAAGACCGCGAGGUGGAGCAAAACUCAGAAACAACGUCCCAGUUCGGACUGCAGGCUGCAACUCGCCUGCACGAAGUCGGAAUUGCUAGUAAUCGCAGAUCAGCAUGCUGCGGUGAAUACGUUC
rnacentral:rRNA from 1 species